CUACCCAUUCUUUCCCCUGCAAAACCAAGCAGGACAAGGAGCUCACCAUGGCCUUCUCAUACAAAGAGCAAUUAGCCCCUUUCCCCUGACAAAGCUCCUACACUGGAUGCAGCUGGGUUUGUUUCUUACCUCUUUUUAAUCCAUGAAGCAGCAAAAGCAGUGCAUAUUCACACCUGAGUACCCAUGGCCUGACGUGCAUGAAGUUCCUGAAGUGUUUCAGCUGAGCUUCAGUGUUUCCGAGAGCAGAAGGGUCACUCGCAGUGGAGAAAGAGAGAAUCUGGGGGGAAAAAAACCCAAAAAUACACAUCCUAAGCAGUUGGGUUUGCAUUGUCUGGCAGGUCCAAACUCCAGAGAGGUGUCUGAAGUACAACUCUGGUGGGGUGUGAAGCCCAAAACUGAGUUCUAUAACCCAUAGAAUCAUCUACUGUCCUGGAUGCUGAAGGUCCCCAUGCUCAUGGUUUAACCCAGAAAUGAUGGGAAGCCCAUGCAAAGCUUCGUGCCAGCACUAAGGUGGUGGACCACUGAGUUUUUCCCACCUGUCUGCUCAUCUCCCAUGUCUCCUGGCUGCCACACAAAAUGACUCGUGACCUGCUGGAAACGGGAGCAGUGGAAUGGUGGAGACUAUCGGAGCGAUGCCAGAGGGGUAGCACCCGCUGUGUCUGCUCUGCCUGGUGCUCCUGCAGCUCAGGCAUCUCCUGGAGCUACAGGUUUAAUACACAUAGUUAUGCAUUUUUACGUGAGGUUCUUUCCAUAAGCAUGAAAAUGAUUUACAACAUUUCAAAUUUCAUUUUUUUAAUCCUUUAAAAUUAAAACAAAUCUUUUCUCUGCUUUGCCCAAUUUUAAGGCUGCCCUUAAGCUCUUGCAGAAAAAUAUGGAUGGAAGAAACUCCUGAAAUCCCCAACCACUGGCAACCAAAUUGGUAUUUUACAAGUUAAGUGCUAUAACAGAGGGAACAUACAUGUUUAAUUUGGAAAUGUUGAUUCCAAAUGGAUUUUUGUUUAAAAAAAAAAACACCACAAAAAACCACCUUCCCCCAAGCAAGUCAAUAUUUGUAAUCAAAUGGAAAUUUCCUUUGGGAAUUAUUUAUUUUCAUGAGGGCUAAUUUUUGCAAGGGAAAAUUCUACGCAGGAAGGUUUUCAGUUGCUUUAAACCAGCUUUAGGAAUCUGGGUGAUGGGAGGGGGCCCAGGAAAUCCCACUCAUGCUGAAGCUCAGUUGCCUUUGAUGAGGGUGAGCUGAUGAAAGAGUUUAAACUGAUUCUUUCCACUUUGAAGAGGGUAAAGAGUGAACAGGAAGGAGGGAAAGGGAGAAACAGGAAAGAAGGAGGCAUUCAACACCAAUUCCCUGCUUUGUAUUUCUUGAGAAUGUAGCAGCAUGGCAUGGGAUUCACCACGGGCAACAUCAGACAUCAAACUGAGGCAUCCCAGCUGGCUACUUUUGGCUUCCCAUACACCAGAGGGAACACAAAGCACUCUGGGAUGCUGCAUCAUUCACCUGCUUAUAUCUGACAUCCACUGCAGGGUGAGAUGAGUUGUGCCACUGACUUUAUCUGCCUUGAACAGAUGAGGAGCUGAUGGUGACAGGUUCAUGUUCACCAUAGCCCAGUGAAUCCCAUUUGAGCUGCCUGACCUGCUGUUGAUUUACUGGUGGAGCAGGAGCAUCCCUGAGGGUACUGCAGCCCCUCCAUGGGUAACACAGUAUGGGCCAUGAGGAGGAACAGGCACCUUAUACUACUAUUAGUGCAUUAACAGGGAUUCAAGCCCAAAGAGAAGACACACAUGGUUUCCAGCACCCAUAGGGAAGUCCUUUAGAGCAAACUGUCACGGCUCAACCUUAAGAUGAUUUUCUUACAGAAUUUGUGUCCGUUUUACCACAACAGUUGGGGUUAAUGAUGUGCAUAAUUUACAUUACCAUGCCUUUUAUUUUUGUAUUAUGAUAAAUUGCCUACCUUCAUGUUCCUCUUUAUUAUGAUGCGCUGGGAGCACAAUAUAGUGGUAGAAAAACAACAGUAUAGCACUGCACUGUCAGCCUCCAACACAGAACCAGCACACCCAGGCUGCAGCCAUCCCCGGAUGCACAGCACCGUGUCAGAUGAUUAGCUCCAAGGCAACUGCCAACAUGCGGUUUUAGUGGAAAUGAAAACAAGAUACAGGUUCUUUCCAGAAAUCAGAAAACCAAACCUUGGAAACCUAACUCUUCAGGUGAAAAUGCAGAAAAACUUCUGUUUGGAGCUUCUGUUCAAUAUUUUAGCUCUAAUAUCACUCUUAAGGACACAGAAAGGAGAUCUCUUGUAGGGUUUCCAGGUCUUCCAGAGGACUGACGUCACCUGCAGGACCUCAGACCUGAUGUGUUCAGCAUGCUAAAGUUGGACAUGGACAGCUGGUUUGGAGCAAAUCUGGCAUUUCCUGGGGCAGGAGACACCACGUGCAUGUGCAAGACCAUCAUGGGUGCUGGAAGGCAUCCAUGCAGCUAUGCUGGUAACUCCAAACCCCGAUCCCUCCUCCUGGGAGCUUUGCCCACUGUACAUGCACAGAGGAGCCAGAUACCACAGCAGGCAGCAGUGGGAGAGAUUGCUGCUGUGAGAUCUGAGCACAAAGUGGCUUCAACCACUGCUGGCAUUGGCACAGCAAGCGAGAAGACAUUUACUUCCAGGAGCAAACACAGGGAACUGCCAAUUGGCCAAAAUCAAAUAAAACAUGACCUCUGAUGAACUGGAGCCGUAAUACUUUCAAACAACCCUGCGCUCAAUAUUGGCAAUGUAAUAGUUUACCUUUGAGACACGAGGGCUGAAGGAGGAGCGACACCCGCGGCUCCCGGAGAUGUUUCAUUACCAUCAUUGCUGUUACUGAUAACAAGGCAGCAAACCUCCACGAGGUCCCCGCGCCGGGCUCCAGGAAAGCAUUGCCUGCACCUCUUCCCCAAGGGAAAGCACAAACCCAGGAGCUGGGGUUUACAGGAGCACCUGAACCUUUUCAAUUACAGGAAAUACAGAAUGAGGCAGAACAGAGAGAUUCUUUCCUGGCACAAAGUCCUUCCUCUCAGCUUUUGUUUUCAAUCCUGCAACCUGCCCGCUACUCCCUGGGUAACCACGCGCACACUCAGCCUUGCUGGCUCCUGGAAAAAGCCCCUUUUAAGUGGGACAGGAACAAACCCUGAGCUAGAAAUAAUGGGAACCCUUUGGGGAAGAAGUAAUAAAACAAUCUGAGUUUGAUUAUUAAGCGCAAAGCAGGAGAUGGCAGCUGAUGUGCAGUACACACCGCCUCCCAAUCAAACAAAUACCCAGGGCGCAGUCCUGUCCAGAAGCAGUAUAAAUAUCUCAGCAGCUUAUUACCUUGUUUCUUGGAUCACUCCAAGCUUCUUGGAACCAGUGUGAAGCACAGGCAAAUCCAUUAAAAAAUUGAUUUUUGUUAUUUCUCUUCA